UCAAGUCUCUCUUCUCUCACGCCUCAGCUCUCUCUCUCUCUCUCUCUCUCUCUCUCUCUCUCUCUCCACCAUCUCUCACGCCUCAGCUCUCUCUCUCUCUCUCCACCAUCUCUCACGCCUCUCUUCAGCAUCUCUCACGCCUCAGCUCUCUCUCUCUCUCUCUCUCUCUCCUUCACCAUAUCUCACGCCUCUCUUCACGAUCUCUCUCACACCUCUCUUCACCAUCUCUCACGAUCUCUCUUCUCCAUCUCUCACACCUCUCUUCACCAUCUCUCACGCCUCAGCUCUCUCAAAGGCCAGUUCUC
rnacentral:lncRNA from 1 species